rnacentral:lncRNA from 1 species
UUGGGUUCUAUGCUAGCUAUAGAGCACUCUGACUGUCACUGUACAGUGCAACCUGAAGGAAAAUCGAUAGGCGCAUAGCAUGUAUUUUUAAAAUUUUAAGUAGUAGAAUAGAAUAGAUUAAACAAUUUAAUCUAUAAAACAUGCUUAAGAUUUAAUCUUAAUGCCUACCUUAGGAUCUAUAACAUAUCAUAUAUGCAUACAAAGAUCUGAAAAUAAAAUCAGCAUGCAAGAUCACAUCUAGACAUACACUAGUAGAUCAUAGCUACACACAAAUCAAGUUCAGAACUUGAUACCUGAGCAUGGGUAGAAGGUCUUCGCAUCUGAAUCACAAAGAUUUGAAGGAUGCUUAUAGCCACACAGGAUGUCCGCCCUCUAUGGCUGAUUCACUCAAAGUCCUAUGCUGAUCGAUCUCCUUGAAAAUACUAAUUUGUGUGAAGACCUUUGGAUGGCUGAUUUGCUUCGAUCUUCAGAUUUCUCGAACUCCUUCGAAAUCGAAGAUGGACAAGGAGGUAGAUGAGGUAAAGAAAAAAGAAGAUGGAGAACUUUCUCCUUUUUCUCUCUUCUCAAAAUCUUAGAUCUGAUCUAGAUUUUCUCUCACCCA